GGGAUCACGGACGGCGGCAGAGCAUUGGGAUCACGGACGGUGGCAGAGCAUUGGGAUCACGGACGGCGGCAGAGCAUUGGGAUCACGGACGGUGGCAGAGCAUUGGGAUCACUGCAGAGCAGUGAAAUCACGGUAGGGCAGUGAAAUCACGGCAGAGCAGUGAAAUCAUGGCUGAGCAUUCCUCAGCUGCUUCCCUCCUUUGCUGCUUCCCUCCUUUGUGUGCAUUCCUUUGCUGCUUCCCAUCCAAGC
rnacentral:lncRNA from 1 species